ensembl:lncRNA
AAACGCUUGAGGAGGCGUUUUGAAAAGAAAAAACUUAUUUUUUGCGGAGACACAAUCCUGUUCCCCACUUGUAUUGGAGUGGACGCCGAUAUCUACUUCUGGGCCGCAUGAAAUGACGGACCCCCGUCCACUGCCAGCUUAAACAGCUGCAAUACCAGAGAGACACGUCAGUGUAAUUGUGGAUGGCGAGAGCCCUGAAAUACAGCUGGACAGCAGCGGUCUACAUCACUGCCCCUUCUGCAGAUACAAAGGGUCAAAAUGUGAUAUCGACCAUCACAUUAAAUGCCAUGCCUCGGUUAAAUACAGAGGUCUGCAGAGGAGCUUUCAGGAAGCAGGAAGAGAAGACGGGAGGGAAAAAAGCUACAGACAAAACUGAAGACCAGGAACUGGAACCUGGGAACCUGGUCUGUAAUAUGUGUGUAAUGCUGGAGGUUGUAUGUAUAGCCAGAUGAAAUAGUCUGAUGACUAGUUGAAUAGUGUUUUUUAUCACUGAAAACUCAUCAGUAGUAGUAGCCUUUGUUUGCAUACCAUUUUGUGGUUUUGGGAGAGUAGGGUGUCAAGUACAGACACAAAUAAUUUUUCUUUCUUCUUCAAGGAAGAAUAUGUUGUCCUGAAGGACACAAUUCAGGCAGCAGCAUGGUGCCAGUUACAGUCCUUCAAGGACAGCCUUUCUCUCCCAGAGGUCAUUGGGAUGGAAGGUUGGGAGCAGAUGGCAGCAUCAACACAGCGCAAAUCCCAUGACGGCGGGGAUGAGGAAGAAACGUGGAACCCAUUCCAAUUCUCAUUCAGAUUACAUACUGACUAUGAACUGUUCUGUGUGGAGAUGAUGGACAGGAGAAACCUGAAGGUGUUUGCCUCUUUUGAGUCAAACACCUCUACCCCUCCCCGUCCCCCCUCCCUGUGACGCCUGCGCCACACGACUCCAAUGUAGUCUGAUGAUGCAGCAUAAUGGCGGCGCUUGGCAGCUAUGGCUGCGGUGACGGCGAUGUCGGGC